rnacentral:rRNA from 1 species
AGCAGCCGCGGUAAUUCCAGCUCCAAUAGCGUAUAUUAAAGUUGUUGCAGUUAAAAGCUCGUAGUUGAAUUUCGGGAUUGGCGCAUCCGUCGUGCCUUACGGGGUAUGAACUGGUGCAGUCAAUUUCUCACCUUCUGGAGAACCGCGAUGUCCUUAAUUGGGUGCCGCGGGGAACCAGGACCUUUACUUUGAAAAAUUAGAGUGUUUAAAGCAGGCAUUUUUGCUUGAAUACAUUAGCAUGGAAUAAUAAAAUAGGACGGCAUGGUUCUAUUUUGUUGGUUUCUAGGACCACCGUAAUGAUUAAUAGGGAUAGUUGGGGGCAUUAGUAUUCAAUUGUCAGAGGUGAAAUUCUUGGAUUUAUUGAAGACUAACUACUGCGAAAGCAUUUGCCAAGGAUGUUUUCAUUAAUCAAGAACGAAAGUUAGGGAUCGAAGACGAUCAGAUACCGUCGUAGUCUUAACCAUAAACUAUGCCGACUAGGAAUCAGACGAUGUUAAUUUUUAAUGUACUCGUUUGGCUA